UGCGGAGGGUGCAAGCGUUGUCCGGAUUUAUUGGGUUUAAAGGGUGCGUAGGCGGCCCGUUAAGUCAGAGGUGAAAGCCUCCAGCUCAACUGGAGAACUGCCAUUGAUACUGACGGGCUUGAGUACAGACGAGGUUGGCGGAAUUGAUUGUGUAUCGGUGAAAUGCAUAGAUACAAUCAAGAACUCCGAUUGCGUAGGCAGCUAACUAGGCUGUAACUGACGCUGAGGCACGAAAGCGUGGGGAGCGAACAGG
rnacentral:rRNA from 1 species